rnacentral:rRNA from 1 species
GACGAACGCUGGCGGCGUGCUUAACACAUGCAAGUCGAACGAAGUGGCGAACGGGUGAGUAACGCGUAAUCAACCUGCCCUUCAGAGGGGAACAACAGUUGGAAACGACUGCUAAUACCGCAUACUGAAGGAGGGGUUUGCGUGUGAUUAGCUAGUUGGAGGGGUAACGGCCUACCAAAGCGAUGAUCAGUAGCCGGUCUGGGAGGAUGAACGGCCAAAAUGGGAAUUGAACACGGCCCAGACUCCUACGGGAGGCAGCAGGGGGGAAUCAUCCGCAAAGGACGAAAGUCUGACGAAGCAACGCCGCGGGAGUGAUGACGGCCUUCGGGUUGUAAAGCUCUGUUAAUCGGGACGCGGUACCGGAAGAGAAAGCCACGGCUAACUACGUGCCAGCAGCCGCGGUAAUUC